CCACACGGGGUGAGAACUAUAUAAAUAUAGUUCCCAGUGGGUUCGGCCGCCGACUCCGCCGAUCUUCCCACUAGGUCUAAGCUGGCACAGAUAGAUAGAUAGAGAGAUAGAUAGAUAUUGAACUGCAACUAUGAUCUAUUGUGCCAUCAAAUGCAAGCAAUGCAUGAAAUAUCAACUAGCAAUAAGCCUACUAUCAUGAUAAUAUGCUUCAACGAUGUAAUGAAUACAAAUACGACACAGUUAUGCAAUCCACUAACAUAUACUAUGUCUAAUCAGGGUAUGAAUGCAAAUCCACUUAUGCUAUUCAUGUCAUUACCCAAUCCACUAGGCUACCCCGCCUAAGAUCUCGACCACAUGGGUGAAGGACUACCCCGCCCUUGUCUCACCCGUCUCACAACUCUAACACUAUAGGUAAAGAGCUACCCCGCUCUUACCCGAUUCAGAUCUCAAGUCCUAUAGGUGAAGAGCUACCCCGCUCCUCGCCCAACUCAUGACUCAAAUGCCUAAGGGCAAGAGCUACCCCGCUCUUCACCCCGACUCUAACUCAAACUCAUAAGUCAUGAGCUACCCCGCUCAUAGGUCAAGAGCUACCCCGCUCGUAGGUAAAGAGCUACCCCGCUCAUAGGUAAAGAGCUACCCCGCUCAUAGGUAAAGAGCUACCCCGCUCAAAUCUCACAGGAGAAGAGCUACCCCGCUCGUGAGCUACCCCGCUCAUGUGACAACUCCGGAUACCCUGUCAACUAGGUUAACCAUCACUUGAUAAUCCACCUAUCCCUAGGUCCAUGUCAAGUGCCUCAACCACACUAAAUCUCGAUGCCACUCACCUAGGUCUAAUAAACUCUAGGUUCCACAACACUAGGUUUAAUGUCAACCUAUGUUUAACAACAUUAUGUUAAUGCCACUCGAUCUAUCCUAGGUUCACGACACUAGGUUUAGAUGCCACAUGCCUCAUAAUCUCCAUAAUUAACAAUAGGUUAACAUUCAUUUCAUCUAGCAUAUAUGUUCUAUAAAGCCAACAUGCAUCAUAUUGCUAAUAUGCCGACUAGCAUGCAAUCCAUUCAUUACACUAGUUCACAUGUCACUAGUUUCAUUAUCAAGUCCAAGUUCUUUAUUCUCUUAUCAUCAUAGGAUCUCAUGUCUCAACCUUAAUCAUCAUGCAUUCUAGAUUUAAGUGUCAAGUCUAUAAUACUACACAACUAGACAUGCAUGCAAGAAAAUAGAAAUGUAACUAUACAUAUAUCCUAUAAUGCAUAAGAACCAUAUAUAUGAAAUAUGAUCAACUAUUUUACUCGAACAUAGAAGGAAGCCCGAUUGCUUCGGAUAGACACCCCCCACCUUUUUACAGUGUUCCGAUUGCUCGUCGUCACUCGCAAUCGGCCUCCCGCGGCGCACGCCGCUCGGCUCGACCCUAUUCACGCGCGACCUCCAAACGACCUCCGCUUCGCGAUCCGAGAAUUAUAGGUCUUCGGUUUUCUGUUACGAUGCUCGGGAUCCAAUCCCACGAUUUAUGGAAGCCGCCUCGACUCCCCAGGUCAAUAUGAACCCACGAACACUUGAUUCAGCCGGAACGUCGCACCCGCUCGACGAAUCGAUGAACCGUCGCUUCCUACGCGUUCGGGGACAUAACAAUUAGGUUUCCGACCACUCAAAAUAGAUCAAACCCAACUACUUACAAAAAUCCCAUUUUUAACCCUAGGUUUGCAAUUAGAUAAAAAUCCACCAUUAGGGCUCCAAAUUCAAGCUCCAAUAAUCUAUUUAGCAUCAAAGAGGUCCACUAAAUCCAUUUAUAAGGAUUAAAACCCAAGCUCUAGUAAUCUACCAUUAAUAAGCAUCAAGCUUACCUCUAUGUGUUAGCUCCAACCCAAGGAAGAAGAUGGAGAUGGUGAAGUUCCACCUUCUUGACCUUCUUCUCCUUCUUCUUCUCCUUCUUCUUCUCCUUCUUUCUCUUCUUCCCUUUCUUCUAUUUCGUUUAGAGAGAGAGAGAGGGAGAGAGAAAUGUGAGGGAGUGAGAGAAAUAAGAGAAAGAGAGAGAGAAAAUGCUCUCUUAAUCCCCUCUCAUAUUGUAACAUUUCCACAUAAGCCCCUCUACUUCUCCAACCUUGCAACAGCCCAAACUGGGUGUUUUUCGCGCUCUAAGACCGGUCUCAGGCAGUGAGAGACCGGUCCCCGAAGGACCAGAAUUUUAGCAUUUCCAGACUUAGCCAAAUUUUCAGCUUUUUCACCGUUUUUGCUCCGUUUUCGCUCGUUUUCGCUCGUUUGACCUCCGAUUCAUUUCAAAUCGAACCGAGACUCUCCAAACAUGUUUUCGAGCAUGUUUUCAUCAUCUUUUCAUCCCCGCUAAUGCCGGAUUUAGUUCAUGGUCCGACAUAGCCUUUCGGGUCCCAUUUCCGCGCCUACGCGCACCGAAUCGCCCGGAUGCUUCCGAACUUCACCGAACUUCACCGGAACCCUUCAAAUGGCUCUCUAACCAAAUGUACACCGUAACUUCAUGAUUUUAGAAGUCCGGUACCUUACAUCCUCCCCUCCUUAAUAAGAGUUUCGUCCUCGAAACUAACUCACUUCAAACCCAAUUCGCACCUCAACUCGACGUAUCGAGCGACAUAGGGUUCCAAUGCACUUUUGCACUCCGGGGUGGCCUUUCACUCAUUGGAAUCAUCCAAAGGCCUACCACGGGGGAUGUGAGACUAGAUUCACUCACUCUUGCUAAACGUAGCUCCGAAAGUGCAUUACGAGUCUCCGUCAUUCUUGGUGGUAGCGCAAGUCGAAGCUCAACGAUUCUACGCGCUCCAACACCAUUCACCAUUCGGCAUGCAAGAACUCUUCUUUGCAUUCACUUUCCCCCUCGGGGCAUUCCGAUUCGAUCACCAACAUUGCUCAAAAGCAAUAUCAUUGGUGCAUCACCCAAUCGCGAGUGUUCUAACCACAUUCGGACCUUGCUCUACCGCGAGAUGGCCUACCCCGGCAUAUCUCGACUUCCAAUCCUCAAGAGAGCAUUGUCCACAAUUCCAUGUGGCUAUCCGGUAUUCAAGUGUCUCCAAGAGACUACUUUUCCUUACCUCUCAAUUGCCACUUCUAACCUCAAAUCGCUCUACUACGAGAUGGCCUACCCCGGCACAUCUCUCGAACCUCACAAUCCAUGAAAGAGCGUUAUCUUCAAGUGUUCCAAGUUUUCCAACACGACCCAGCCUGCUUGGGCAAGUUGCACACUCGGGGACCGGUCUCUCCCGGCCAGGGGACCGGUUGCCCCGCUCCGCGCAACCCUCAUCCUCGGGGCAACUGGUCCCUCCUUCCUGGGACCGGUCCCCGAGAGCAAGCUUGCGCAGACAACGUUCGGGAACCGGUCCCUUCCGCCAGGGACCGGUCCCCGAGAGCAAAUCUGCCAAGUGCAGAUUCUUGCACCAUGCUCUCGCGGACUCCAUUGCAAUGCACUUUUGGUGCAUUUGACUUCUUCGGCUUUUCCGAAGCACUCCCCCUUGACAAUUUGUCGACUUUGAGCGAAGUCCAACUCUCGUAUUUCGAGAAUUCACUUCCUUACUCCAACUCAUCCACAGAGUCACCGGCUGAACCGAUUACGUCGGCUUCCAAAGAUGGACCAACGAUCGCAAACACUAUGUAGGCUUGGCGCCUAAACCUGUCGCAACUACGCAUAGCAUCUCUCGCUCAGAUCGCAGACCCAAUCAUCAUUGGGCGAAAUUCUCAUUGGAGAAUUCGCACACACUCCAACCAGGAGUAACCACGACCCAAACCACUUCAAAUCCUGAGGUUGGGCUACAACCGCACUCUCAGUGCAUCCUCGAUCCCACGAUCUAUCACGUGGAAGUCCACGUUCCCGGGUCUAAAGCUCGGACUACCGUCCUGACCAUAUCUCUGCCCUACCCCGGGGUCGCUGUCACCCACAGCUGACUGCGCCUGUCCAUAAGGUUCAGGCUCCACAGUCCACGAGUGGUCCAGGCACGGAUCGUCCUCAAGCAAUACCCGCAACCGUCGUCUCACACGACAUGCUCACCGAGCAACACACGUCACUAUAGCGUCACACACUACGCCCAGCAGUAGGCAACACUGCCUAUACACACCGGUCAACCACCGAUCUACUUUGGUAGGCGACACAUCAUCUCAACUCAUGCAUGCAUAGGUAAUUAUACCGACUCAUAUCCUGGUCCCUACUAUACUUGUGCAUUAGUAGUAAAUGAGUAUAAGCUAAAUGCAUGCAACACCUAACUCAAUGUCAUGCAGGAGUAUAUGUAUAUGCCUCAAACAAAUCAUACCUGCCAUGACGUCGCGUGCCUCAAACUCGGCAGGUUCCUUGACUUGAGCGGCGAACACCCGGCCACUCGGAGCCGACCGGGUCGCCUCGAGCUGACGCGGCGCCCUCGCAGGUCCCGCGGAUACGGUAGUAGGCGUAACCCCACCAAACUGCCUCGGAGUCACUGGGGCGGAUGCAAUAGACGGGACAGGCGGCGAUCCCUCUGGACACUGACGGCUCAUAUGCCCCGCCUGGCCACACCUGAAACAUCGCCCCGCCCGAUGCUCACAAUUUCCUGCGCGAUGCUCCCCACCACAGAUCACACAUCGCACAGCUCCCUGGCUCUCAAACUGUCUCCUCGGAUGCUUCGGGGGCUUCUUGGAACUAGACUGUCCCCUCGAGCUACCGCCAGGUCGUUUCUUCCCCUUGUCUUUCUCGGACGCCUCGCGCUCCUCUCGCACGUGGGCAUCACCAUGCUCCGCCCACAAUGCUCGAUCAAAAACCUCGGCAAAAGUCGUGAGCUUGAACAACUGCACCGCUUUAUAUAUCCACGGCCGAAGUCCCCGCAAAAACCACUCGGCUCGAUCCGCGUCAUCCUUAACAACAUCUGGGACGCAGUCUAUGAUAUGGGAGAACUCCUGCUCGUAGUCCGCCACGGAACGAUCCCCCUGUCUCAGUUUGCGGAACUUCUCCUUUAACUUCCGCUUCUCAGUGUCGGGGAAGUAAUUUCCAAACAUUUCCCUCUUGAACUCCUCCCAGAGCAUUGGUUGAAGGUCAGAGGGUCGAUCCCGCUUCAACCGCUUCCGCCACACCUUCGCCGCUUUUCCAAGGCAAUGGGUGGCGAGAUACACCUUGUCUUUCUCCGGGGUAUAGAGAUCCUCAAAAAGUGUCUCCAUUGAGUCAAUCCAUGACUCCACCAUCAACGGCUCCACUUUCUCCCCUUCAAAGAUUGGUGGGUUGAACUUCUUGAGUCUGAUAAGAGCCGUCAACGAGCGCUCUCGCUCCAUCUCCUCGACCGCCGCAUCGGGUAUCGCCGAACCCGAAGCCGCCGGAGGAGCACUUGCUGGCGGGGGAUAUGCCUCCGCCGGAGCUGCCGCAAUGCCCACACCCUCUGUCACGUCCCGCUAUCGCCUAUUUGGUCGAUCCGGGCCCGCGCACAGACGCCGAACGAACAGCACCUCCUCUGUUCGCCCAAGGCUCAACAACAACGAGUACAUGUAUAAAGAAAUAAAUAAUUCCCAGGAGCACAUUUCAAUAUACAUGGCUUGCACGAAGGCAAGCAACAACCACAAGUGAUAGUAAACUAACUGUACAAUGAAAUUCACUGUAAUUUAAAACUUUACACAACAGAACUUGUAACUAAAACAUUUAGUUAUAUACAUGUUUUCUAAUAUAUUCAUUUACAUGUCUCUGUACAUCAAAAUGGAUGAUACAUGAACUCAAAAUGGUAAUUGCUAAACUCUGGUGUCAGCUAGCUAAGCUGCAGGGCUCUUGCCACGAUCCUCGGCCUCAAACCUCGCACUGGAACCUGUAUGGUUAGUGGUGUGAGAACUACAAGAAAGUUCCCAGUGGGUUCGGCUGCCGACUUCGCCGACUCACCCACUAGGUCUACUCAGGCAUAUGUAGGCAAGAAAAGUAAGCAGAUAGUAACCAACUAUAACAUGUAACUACUACAAUGCCUGUACAAAGCUGAAAGAAGUAACAGAUAUGAAAACUGUAAAUAUGCAUGCAUGCUUUUCAUUAACUUUACCCAAUCUUUUGGUUAACUCUCUGGUUAACAGCUGGACAAGUACGUUAGUCCUGGGGCAAGUACGUUAGCCCAUAAAUUUACCCAAUUCAGUGGUUAACCCUUUGGUUAACAAUAACUCACCAACAAAAUCCCUCACGGGCCCUAAGCUGCCUCCCGAUGGGACCGUCUGUCGGACAAGUACGUUAGUCCUGGGGCAAGUACGUUAGCCCAACAAGUGACUACUCCGGAGCUCACUGCCUGGGGGGAGCGACCACCACCAAGCUAAGAAAACAGACUAGUGAGUAAGAUCUGAUCCCCUUUUAGAGGAUUCAACUGACAACAAUGUCACCAUUUAACUCUAACUAGUUCUUUAUACUAGUUUCAUAAUUACAUUUCUCGAUGCUAACCAAAUCUCUAGUCAUGAUGUCACCAAGUUUACUAUUGUCUUGGUCAAUGCAUUCAUAGGGUUCUAUGUCCACAAUCUAAGGUUCACAAAUUCUCAUUGUUGAUAGGAAUUCACAUUUUCACUCGCUCAAUGCCAAACACCCUAUAAUGCAUGACUACAAAUAUAAAUAUGCUCAACGAAGAAUUAUAGACAUAAAAGGUGAUUCAAAGAGUUCGGAUAGCACCACCCACCUGUAGUGGUGUCAAUCAACUAGAAUCCACGUCUCGGAAAGCGUCGACGACUAUCUCUCGCGACUCCGUGCAAAUAGAAGUAGAACGGUCUCUACCGUAAUUAGCGCGUCGCCGACCUGUCGGAAAGUCAAUUUAGACUCUUGGGCAUGUUUACUUUUCACUUAUAAAGGAUUAGAAAAGAUUAAACUAGAGUCAUUACUCAUAUUUUACAAGUUAGCAUUUCAAUGCUAUAUUAAGCGGCAACUAUAGCCGAAAACCUUCUUUUGGCGAUAUCUUUGCGUAGGUUCGUCGGAUUGCCGAACCGACUUCGCGAACGCGUUUCUUUUACCCUCAAUUUGGUUUACACGCGGUCAAUUUCGCAUUAGGACUUUUAUUUUGCAAAAGUGCAUUGCCGGGGUCAGUUUUCUCAAAAACACCCAUUUCAAUGCAAUUUCGCAAAUACGUUAAGUAUUUCAACUCUUUUUAGCCUUAGAAUCUCAAAAACACGUAGUGAAAUCUGCCCAAAUACUCGAUUCCAUUUUUCUCUCUAUUUCAUUUUCUUUCUUUUCUUUCUUCUCUUUCUUUUCUUUCCUUCUUUCUUCCUCUUUUCUUUCUUUCUUUCUUGCUGGCCCUGCAGGGCAGCAGCUGCUGCUGCCACUGCUGCUGCUGCUGAUUGCUGCAGCUGCUGCUGCUUGCUGCAGCUGCUGCUGCUGCUGCUGCUGCUGGCUAAGCUGCUGCUGCUGCUGCUGGCUAAGCUGCUGCUGCUAAUCCAGCAGCUGCUGCUGCUGGCGCAUGCUGCUGCUGCUGCUGGCGCAUGCUGCUGCUCCUGCGCACUGCUGCUGCUGCUGAUGCUCCUGAAGCUGUUGCUGCUGCUUCUGCUAAGGCUGCUGCUGCUGCUGCUGCAGCUCUGCUGCUGAGCUGCUGCUGCUGCUGCUGCUUCUCCUGCUGCUGAUCCAGCAGCUGCUGCUGGUACUAUUGCUACAAUCAGUAGCAGGGAGAGAGGGUAGAGAGGGAGAGAUCACAAGGAGAGGGAAAAAAAUAGAAUUUUACCUCUUUUUCUUUUUCUCUUCUUCUUCUUCUCUUUUCUCUUCUCUUCUUUCUCUUCUUUUCUCCUUCUCUCUCUCUCUCUCUCUCUGUACGUAGGCAGCAAGAAGGGGGAUAAGGAUGGAGGGGGCUGCCUGGCAGGUUUAGUGGAAAUCCACUAAGCCUAGGAUAUUUACCAUUUUGCCCCUCGAGUUAAGUCCGUUUAGUCGCACGGAUUAGAUACCUUUUGCAGGCUCUUCCGACAGUCCGAUUGAGCUCAAAUUUGGCAGGAAUGUUCAUUUUUACUUAACAAGUCCACUGAAAUUUUAACAUUUCAGUUUCGACCCCGUUUGGUCACUGCGAACUGUUCCGAACUGUAAUCUUUAUCCGAUAACUUCCAGAUGCUAUUUCUCUCUCUACAGGUGUCAGAAAAAUCUGAAACUUCAAAUCUAGCCUUAUAAUAAUGUUCCUGACAUCUCUGCCAAUUUUCAUAAUUUUCUGACACUGUGCAUUUUCUGCUAAUUUCUCAGUCCCGUUCUUUACAGAAAAUUCCAAUUCUUCUGUUUUCGCUCCGAUUUCAACACGAACACUUCCAAAACAUGCCGAGGGACUUUCACAAGCUACCAGUUUAAUUUGGAAGCAAUUCCUUUUCAUUUUGACAUCAUUUGAGCCGAAUUAGCAAUAGAAUCGGCUCCAAUUUCAUUACACGGCAGAAAUUUCUCCUUUUUGCACUACCACUUCGCACUGAACACUUCAAAACCCUUUGAAAACACACCCUUGGCUUUUCCGAAACUUCACAAUUGAUUCGGAGAUUCCACAAUUUAUCCUUACGCCUUACUUUAAUUCUUUUAAUCAAAGUUAGCGUCGGAAAUCUGAAAAUUCUCUUUACUCUCUUUACAUUUCGUUUCGCGCCCAAUUUGCGCCGACACACUUAUUUCUCUUUGGAACUCAUUCCAAUGCAUCACAAAUCCCUCGGGGAUGAUGUCCAACUAGCUCAAUCCUCACUUUGACCCUCUAGGUCAAAGUUGACAUCGCAACUCCAAAUUUCCAUAUGUUACAUUCUCCUCCCGUUAACAAAAGUUUCGUCCGCGAAACUUAGAUACUUAUUACUCCUCAUUGCUUAACGGAUGGAGAUAAAUUCCAACACUAUUCCAAAGUUUCUCAACUUCAUUCCAGAGUAUACUGAUUUCUCCAAUCAGUCUCUACGAACACUUUGUUCGCAUUUCCAAUCUCAACUCGUCAUCGAUGCUUAUUUUAACAAUUCUGACUCAUUAAUCCAUAGGACCGAGCCUUCGCUCUCACAGUCCCAAUACACUAUCCUUCACUUGGACAUGCACAUAGGUAAACUAUUUGUCUCAAUUACCUCAAAUCUGUUCAACUUAACUCAACGUCUCUCGCGCACAAGCGGAGACCCAAUUAUCAUUAUUGGGCGAAAUUCUCAUUGGAGAAUUCACACAUACUCC
rnacentral:lncRNA from 1 species